rfam:Asian citrus Psyllid, Diaphorina citri - Florida Strain, whole genome shotgun sequence.
CAUAGCAGAUACCUAGCACGUUGAACACACCAGUUCCUAAUGAAUCACUGAAGUUAAGCAGGGUUGCACUUGGUUGGUAUCCGGAUGGAUAAUCAUCUGGGCAGUCGCGUGCUGCUGGCU